UUGUCUCAAAGAUUAAGCCAUGCAUGUCUCAGUACAAGCCGAAUUAAGGUGAAACCGCGAAAGGCUCAUUAAAUCAGUUAUGGUUCCUUAGAUCGUACCCACAUUUACUUGGAUAACUGUGGUAAUUCUAGAGCUAAUACAUGCAAACAGAGCUCCAACCGGAAACGGAAGGAGCGCUUUUAUUAGAUCAAAACCAAUCGGUGGCGGUUUCUCCGUCAUCGUACAACUUGGUGACUCUGAAUAACUUUAAGCUGAUCGCACGGUCUCGCACCGGCGACGCAUCUUUCAAAUGUCUGCCUUAUCAACUGUCGAUGGUAGGUUCUGCGCCUACCAUGGUUGUAACGGGUAACGGGGAAUCAGGGUUCGAUUCCGGAGAGGGAGCCUGAGAAACGGCUACCACAUCCAAGGAAGGCAGCAGGCGCGCAAAUUACCCACUCCCGGCACGGGGAGGUAGUGACGAAAAAUAACGAUACGGGACUCAUCCGAGGCCCCGUAAUCGGAAUGAGUACACUCUAAACCCUUUAACGAGGAUCAAUUGGAGGGCAAGUCUGGUGCCAGCAGCCGCGGUAAUUCCAGCUCCAAUAGCGUAUAUUAAAGUUGUUGCGGUUAAAAAGCUCGUAGUCGAAUCUGUGUCCCGCGCCGCCGGUUCAUCGUUCGCGGUGUUAACUGGCGUGCCGCGGGACGUCCUGCCGGUGGGCUUAGCUCGAGAGGGCGGCCCAACUCAAUCCCGCCGCGGUGCUCUUCAUUGAGUGUCGAGGUGGGCCGGCACGUUUACUUUGAACAAAUUAGAGUGCUUAAAGCAGGCUAAAACUUCGCCUGAAUACUGUGUGCAUGGAAUAAUGGAAUAGGACCUCGGUUCUAUUUUGUUGGUUUUCUGAACCCCGAGGUAAUGAUUAAUAGGAACGGAUGGGGGCAUUCGUAUUGCGACGUUAGAGGUGAAAUUCUUGGAUCGUCGCAAGACGGACAGAAGCGAAAGCAUUUGCCAAAAACGCUUUCAUUGAUCAAGAACGAAAGUUAGAGGUUCGAAGGCGAUCAGAUACCGCCCUAGUUCUAACCAUAAACGAUGCCAGCUAGCGAUCCGCCGACGUUCUUUCGAUGACUCGGCGGGCAGCUUCCGGGAAACCAAAGCUUUUGGGUUCCGGGGGAAGUAUGGUUGCAAAGCUGAAACUUAAAGGAAUUGACGGAAGGGCACCACCAGGAGUGGAGCCUGCGGCUUAAUU
rnacentral:rRNA from 1 species